GGGGGCGAUCGGUAUCGACGGGAUAUGAGAAAUGUUGAACCGCACGCGGAGGAUGACAGUUUCCUCCAUAAUCAUCUGUCAUACUUAUAAAUGCCGAUUACGGCUACAUGGCUGCAGCUUAAGUCUACAGCUCGUUCCGGAUUAGAUGAGUCUAUGGUCUGGUCCAGGAACGUCAUCUACAUAGACUAGUCUCAAAUUUGUCUGUGAAUUUGAGAUGAAAUAAAACAGACUGGUUUGUGCUUAUUUUUGUCUCUGAUAUAAGUUCAAAUGAGAAACCAAUUGGAAGACUAAGCAUGUAGAUGAUCUACAUCACUCUAUUUCGGACGGGAGUUCGAUUCUCCCCGCCUCCACAA
rnacentral:tmRNA from 1 species